rnacentral:rRNA from 1 species
CCCUUAGAUGUUCUGGGCCGCACGCGCGCUACACUGAUGCGUUCAACGAGUUUACAACCUUGAUCGAUAGGUCUGGGUAAUCUUUUGAAUGCGCAUCGUGAUAGGGAUAGAUUAUUGCAAUUAUUAAUCUUGAACGAGGAAUUCCUAGUAAACGCAAGUCAUCAGCUUGCAUUGAUUACGUCCCUGCCCUUUGUACACACCGCCCGUCGCAGCUACUGAUUGAAUAUAUCGGUGAAAUCUUGGGACUGUGAUGAUGAAAGCUUUAUUGCUUUGAUUAUUGUGGGAACUUGCUUAAACCUAUCUAUUUAGAAGAAGCUGAANUCGUANCA